GUUGAGGAGUAAAAAGAAAUCAAGGGUUCAUGUGGGGUUCUGUCGCAGGGGAGAUGGCUGGUCCAUUCAUGCCUAUGCUAUGCCAUGCAUGUAUGCAUCAACCAUCUCAUUGUGACAGAACUCCAUCCAAUCCUUACAUUUGAGAGGACGUGAGCUCAAGUGCACUGAAGUGUAUUAUCCUCUUAUUUAAGAGUUGAGGAGGGGCUAUGAAUAGUUUUAGGCAUUAUAUCAAAGAGAACGAAUAUAAUUAGGAACCCAUAAUGAAAUUAUUGUUCAAAAGAAAAUUAUUGUAUGAAAAUCAUUUUCAAUUAUAUUAUCUCAACUAUUUUCCA